rnacentral:rRNA from 1 species
UACAGAGGGUGCGAGCGUUGUCCGGAAUCACUGGGCGUAAAGGGCGCGUAGGCGGUGACUUAAGCGUGUGGUGAAAGCUCGGGGCUCAACCCCGAGUCGGCCGUGCGAACUGGGUCACUGGAGCAUGUCAGAGGCAGGCGGAAUUCCCGGUGUAGCGGUGAAAUGCGUAGAUAUCGGGAAGAACACCAGUGGCGAAGGCGCUCUACUGGGCCACAACUGACGCUGAGGGACGAAAGCUAGGGGAGCGAAAGGG